AAACACCUUCAGAGGAAAACUGUGUAUUUUCCAUGAAAUCGUUGCCUAGGAAACAAUGAUUUCAUCUUAUUUUUGGCAUAGAACUGUAGGUGUAUAAAAGCUCUGAAUCAGUCUGCACACAAGAUGAGUGCUGAUAUUUAUGAAGCCAGCAAGACAGUAUGGGUGCUUCUAAUUUGUGGUCUCCAGAGAGGAAAUUUUGUCUAAGAAUUUUUUUUUGAUAGAUCAGUUGGACAAGAACAUCCCUUCAAGUUACUAGAAGAAGAAUGGACCUUUUUGAUGUCACUGUUAUUCCAGAAAGAAUCUCUGGCAUGCUCCCCUCCAGCUAACGUCAGAAAGAAAAGGGGGCCCUUGCAAAAAUCACUCCAGCAAAAAAAAGUUAGAGACCAAGACAUGACUGCAAGCACAAAGGUGGACAUAUGCCCAAGACUUGCCAAUCAUUUUAUCCCCUGAACCUAGACAUUAUGGUCAUCUGGUCAUAAAAUGUGUUCAAAGAUAAAUGCCUCCAUUGCCUUCCAAUAAAUCCCUCUUCUACCUAUUUUAUUAAUUUAUUUAAAAUUGUGUUUCUGUUACUUGCAAAUAAAAUUACAAAGUUUUCAUUAAUGCAUUCUUUAAAAUUUAUUUCCUUCAAAUUAAUACUCCUAAUGAUGCAAUGUAGAUUAUAAAUCUUGGAUUUUUAGAAGUGGAUUAUUUGGUUUUAGGGAAUUGGAAAUUCGGGUCAUUCAUCCAGGAUCACACAGUUAGGAGGGGAACUGGAAUUAGAAUCAAGGCCUUAUAACUGAUAAAAUAACAAGUUAAUGAGCUUCUGGAGCCAAAAGGAGCAAUGAAACCUCUUCUAAUUCCCCAUAUGAAACUUGAAUGCUUUUGAUAAUAUCUCUAACAAAUAUCAAAUGAAUAUCGAUGUUUACUAUAACAUUGUUUUUCAUAGUGAUGGGAAUAAUAAAUUUUGUUUAAUUCUAAGUAUACUAAAUAAGGGAAAUAGUAAUGCUAUUUGAUUCCAAAUGUGUGGUAUGCUUAGAAAGAAAUGGAUCUGGUUUCUUAUGGGGCUCAUAAAUAGAUUUUAUGAUGUUCAGAAUCUUCAAAGAUGCUAAUUUAUUCUUGAUU
rnacentral:lncRNA from 9 species